GCUGGGUGUGCCUGUAGGCCCAGUGACUCAGGAGGCUGAUGUGGGAGGAUCGCUUGAGCCCAGGCAUUCUGGGCUGGAAUGUGCUAUGCAGAUUCGGUGUCUGUACUAAGUUCAGUACCAGGGAAUUCCUGGGAGCAGGGGUCACCCAGUCAUCCAGGUUAAGGAGGGGUGCACUGGCCCAGGUUGGAAGCAGAACUGGUCAAAACUCCUGUGCUGAUCAAUAGUGGGAUUGUGCCUGUCAAUAACCGCUAUAACCACCAUCCCCCAGUCUGGACAACAUAGUGAAAAUUUU
ensembl:misc_RNA Metazoa_SRP Metazoan signal recognition particle RNA